rnacentral:rRNA from 1 species
CCCUUAGAUGUCCUGGGCCGCACGCGCGCUACACCGAUGCAUGCAACGAGUUUAUAACCUUGGCCUGAAAGGUCUGGGUAAUCUUUUGAACGUGCAUCGUGAUAGGGAUAGAUUAUUGCAAUUGUUAAUCUUGAACGAGGAAUUCCUAGUAAACGCGAGUCAUCAGCUCGCAUUGAUUACGUCCCUGCCCUUUGUACACACCGCCCGUCGCACCUACCGAUUGAAUGGUUCGGUGAAGAUCUCGGACUUCGAUAUUUAUUCUUUAUUGAGUUUAUAUUGUGGGAAGUUAUCUAAACCUCAUCAUUUAGAGGAAGGUGAAGUCGUAACA